GCUGACUUCUCAUUAGGAAAUCUGGUAUUUCAGGUUGGACUGGGCCUUGGGAAUGGCUGCUCCUUUGUUCAAGAGAAAAAGUACAUUAGAUCUGGCUGCAGUCUCAGACUUGUGAAAAUGAAUUCCAGAAUUUUCUAGCAUAGGAAAGUGAGGUGGCUCUCCAGUACCCUGAACAGAAUUUACCCAAUGAAGCCGAGAGCGGGAGAGGGCAAGAUGGCGUCCCUGAUUUCCUGAGGUUAUGCACGGUGACAGCCGUGGUCACAGACCCUGCAGAGCCUGGCACCACGGGACACCCAUGGUGGUGAUUAACUCUACAGAUCCUUGCUCAGAGCCUUGAUUCUCUUACCACGUAUUUCGAGAUUAGCUCUAUUAAAAGCGACCUUGACCCUGCAUUUCUUUAUUUCCGGUGGUUUUGUUUUCCUGUUUUUCAUCGUUCGGAGUACAUUCAUUUCUGCUUCUCUGAUGACCAGUGUCUGCGCGAGGAUUCCUUCUUGCGCCAUUUUUCCAAAAGUCGCUUCAUCGAACCUGUGACUAAUUGGCUAAAUAAAACCAACACAUACUCCUGGAAUUCAGGAGUCUGUUUCGUUCCAGGCCUGAUGAAAGGGAGUAAAUCGCACGGUUCCUUCUUGUCCUCCGUUAUCUCUCCCUUUCCUGCAAAAUCAUCAUCAAAAGAGAUGCUGCAAAGUUCUUCAUGAAUCUAGAGCGGGGACUUUCAUUCAUUGCCCAUUAUUCUGGAAAUGUCCCCCCAGCCCGCUCCUGGGCCCCCUGCAUCUUCCUUAUCCACGGACGGCUCGUGUAGGGAAGCCACAGGUCGGAGAUGACACCUGGCAGGAAGAAGAGAAAGGGCAGAGAGGUUGGAAUGUAAACUAAACGCGAGAUUUGUGAUUUGGUGGAAAGAGCUGCGGACCGGACGUCUAACCCUGGAUGGGGUGGCAGUCAGGAGAGAUCCUGCACAUUCCUUAGAUGCUCAAGCUCUCUGAGAGCACCAAGCAUUAAUAUUUUGGAAGGAAAACAUGAACCAGACAGGAAAGGGUAACAUUGUCAUUGUCUGUUCGCAAGACUGCGAGCUUGAGGAAGCCAUGGAUUAGGGACCUGGCCUUAUCCAUCGCUGUGUCCACGGAACCUGGCAUUGUGUACCCAGAGUAGACAAGUGUGGAAGUGUUACUCGUGAGCUAAGUCCUGAAUGAGACAGUCAAUCACACGGGGUCCCGUGUCAAAGGAUUCUGCUGGACACUUGUGCUGGAUGGGAACAUCAGUGGAUUGAAACCAGGUUUGGGGUCUAAAAGGCGAGAUUUAAGUUCCGGUGCCACGACUGCUGAGCUAUGUUAUCACUACGAUAUCACUGCGACUUCACUAAGUGUGCGAUCACUUCUCAGCUGGGGGAGCGACGGACCCUCUCCCGGUGUCAAGGAUUUUAUUUAUUUAUUUGAGAGAGAGAAAGAGAAGAAGAAGAAAGAGAGGAGGUGGAGGGUCAAGAAGACUCCAUACCAACCUUGACGCUGGAAGUGGGGCUCAAUCCCACGGUCUUGAGAUCAUGACCUGAGCUGAAACCAAGAGUUGGAUACUUAACUGACUGCACCACAGAGGUGCCCCGAACCCAAGAGUUUGGAUGCCACACUCUCGUGAGAGCCACCAAGGACUUGGAGAGAGACACAUUGGUUCCCCAAGAGUGGGCGGGCUGCCCCACGAGAAAAGACACCAGAAACGGACUCAUCUGGGCCUAUGGAAACAAAGUACCUACACCCUGAAGUGAACAGAAUUAAAAAUCCUCUUGAUAAACAGACCUCAGAGCGCUGGGCUGUUUGGUUUCAGAAUCUCUUGUCACCUACCCACCCUCUCCAUUUUGGGGUUUAAUGUUCAACGAGGUUAUCACAUGGAAAUCCAGCAAGCAAAUCUUAGGAGAUUUUCAGGCCAAAUUGUAAAACCCAUAAUGUUUACAUGGUCUAGAUAAAAUUUUAUUGUCUAUUUAUAUUUCAAUUUCCUAAAUGCCGAUAGCAAAACUGCCCUUAUAUAAACACAAGAAGAAAUUCCCAGCACUCAAAUACUACUUUUAUCUACCUUCCCUAUCUCGGAGCUUCUAGAAAGAUGCAUCUAGAAAGCAUCUAGAAAGAAGCAUCUAGAAAGAUGACAUCUUUUCCAACCACCAUCCUCCUGCACCUGCUCCUGUCACUGGACGUAAGUCUAAGGUUCCUCUAAAGUUAAUGAUUAAAAUAUUCGAGUGGACAUUA